ACACCGGCAGCUCAAGUGGUAGCCGCUUUUAUUGGGCCUAAAGCGUCCGUAGCCGGUCUGAUAAGUCUCUGGUGAAAUCCCACAGCUUAACUGUGGGAAUUGCUGGAGAUACUAUCAUGACUCGAGGUCGGGAGAGGCUGGAGGUACUCCCAGGGUAGGGGUGAAAUCCUGUAAUCCUGGGAGGACCACCUGUGGCGAAGGCGGCCAGCGGGAACGAACCUGACGGUGAGGGACGAAAGCCAGGGGCGCGAACCGGAUUAGAUACCCGGGUAGUCCUGGCCGUAAACGAUGUGGACUUGGUGUUGGGAUGGCUUCGAGCUGCCCCAGUGCCGAAGGGAAGCUGUUAAGUCCACCGCCUGGGAAGUACGGCCGCAAGGCUGAAACUUAAAGGAAUUGACGGGG
rnacentral:rRNA from 1 species